AUGGGUUUUGUAAUAAAAAAAAAAAAAAAAAAAAAUCUGUUCUUAUCAGUUUAAUAUCUGAUACGUUCCCUACCCGGGGACCCAUAUAUUAAAUUGAUUUUUGGAGCAGGGAGAUGGAAUAGGGGCUUGCUCCGUCCACUAUCCACGCAUCGACCCGGUUAUUGCAGUACUUCCGGGAACGGUGCACCCCUC
ensembl:snRNA U2 U2 spliceosomal RNA